AUUGAACGCUGGCGGCAGGCCUAACACAUGCAAGUCGAGCGAGCGGCGGACGGGUGAGUAAUGUCUGGGAAACUGCCUGAUGUAGUGGGAUAACUCCUGGAAACGGUAGCUAAUUCCGCAUCCCAUCAGAUGUGCCCAGCUGGGAUGGGCUAGUAGGUGGGGUAAGGGCACACCUAGGCGACGAUCCCUCGCUGGUCUGAGAGGAUGACCAGCCACCCUGGAACUGAGACACGGUCCAGACUCCUACGGGAGGCAGCAGUGGGGAAUAUUGCACAAUGGGCGCAAGCCUGAUGCAGCCAUGCCGCGUGUGUGCAGAAGGCCUUCGGGUUGUAAAGCACUUUCAGCGGGGAGGCGGUACCCGCAGAAGAAGCACCGGCUAACUCCGUGCCAGCAGCCGCGGUAAUUC
rnacentral:rRNA from 1 species